rnacentral:misc_RNA from 1 species
GAAAUGCGAUAAGUAAUGUGAAUUGCAGAAUUCAGUGAAUCAUCGAAUCUUUGAACGCACCUUGCGCUCCUUGGUAUUCCUUGGAGCAUGCCUGUUUGAGUAUCAUGAAAUCUUCAAAGUAAAUCUUUUGUUAACUCAAUUGGUUUCUACUUUGGUAUUGGAGGUCUUUGCAGCUUCACACCUGCUCCUCUUUGUUCAUUAGCUGGAUCUCAGUGUUAUGCUUGGUUCCACUCGGCGUGAUAAGUUAUCUAUCGCUGAGGACACUGUAAAAGGUGGCCAAGGUAAAUGCAGAUGAACCGCUUCUAAUAGUCCAUGGACUUGCACAAUACUUUUAUGAUCUGAUCUCAAAUCAGGUAGGACUACCCGCUGAACUUAAGC